ACAGGGUACCAACAAGUACCAUAUUCUAACGUAUUUUGAUAUGACGCGGCCGGGGAUCGAACCCCGGAUCUUCCGCUCCGGGCGGUCCACGGAGGCUGUCUGGAGGAUGAGUAGCUACUCGGAACGGUAUCCAGACUACUACAUCAUAUGUAAGCCGCCGCACUCAGCUCUAUGACGGCGGUCUGUAAAUAAUCGAAUCUGGACCAGACAAUCCAGUGAUUGACAUCAUCAGCAUCGAUCCACGCAAUUGGGAUAUAUUGUGUACGGUGGGCGACGGUUGGUCUGCACCAAGAACACUAAAUGUUGAAAAAUAAACGUGUAAAGUGA